AUACGGAGGGGGCUAGCGUUGCUCGGAAUUACUGGGCGUAAAGCGUACGCAGGCGGAUUGUUAAGUUAGAGGUGAAAUCCCAGGGCUCAACCCUGGAACUGCCUUUAAAACUGGCAAUCUAGAGUUAUGGAGAGGUAAGUGGAAUUCCUAGUGUAGAGGUGAAAUUCGUAGAUAUUAGGAGGAACACCAGAGGCGAAGGCGGCUUACUGGACAUAUACUGACGCUGAGGUACGAAAGUGUGGGGAGCGAACGGGAUUAGAAACCCUAGUAGUCC
rnacentral:rRNA from 1 species